rnacentral:misc_RNA from 1 species
GAUUGUGGCCGUAGCGGGAGCCGGUGGGUAAGUUGCUUCUGUGGGGAGCCUGAUCGGGCAGUGCGUCGUGUCGUGCACGUUUAGGAUUGGCUGUGCAAUCGGUGCCUAGCCGGCACCGAGCGUGCAGUUGGUGCGUGUGGGAAAAGGGUUGUGCACGGCAUGGCAAGCUGUUCGGGAUGGCGAGCCACGGCGCGGCGAGCUUGCCGCAUCAGGGUGCCUUCGUGCCUCGCGGGGCAUGCUUGGGCGUUUUGGUUGCUAUUUGUUGCUAAUAUUGGGAUGCAUUGUGAAGCAACGAAUUGUGGCCUCUUCGUUCAGGCAUUGUGUACGUAUGGUGCGUGAGUGGUGGUUGGCUUGUAUGGGCACGUUGGAUCCCUGCUCGGGCAGCGACAGCGUGCUUUGCUUGCCUCUUCGGUUGGCAGCCCAAGUGCAUGUUUGCUUUGGCCAUUCUCGGUUUCCUGUGUUGCAUACCAGUGGCGAGGGCAAUCAGUCGGUUAAAAAUGUCCCGUUUUCGCCUUGUGCUGUGCCUCUUGGGGCUACGGUGUGGGGUGGAUCCUAAAGCAUCCGUCGUGUUCCACUACCCAUGCGUUCUCACACGUGUUCGGGUUGUUGGCCCAUGGCGUCUUGCUUGGUCUCUCGGAUGCGGAAAAUUGAGUGGGCACGAGGCCCCCGGCCCCUAUUUGUCCCGAAAGAAAGCAUUCUAUGCUUCGUGCGAACGACGAUCGUUGCCACUUUGAUCGACCCCUCGUGGCUUUGAUCACUUGGUACCGGCGCCGAUGAGGAAUGCU